rnacentral:rRNA from 1 species
GGGUUGUGAGGUUAAGCGACUAAGCGUACACGGUGGAUGCCCUGGCAGUCAGAGGCGAUGAAGGACGUGCUAAUCUGCGAUAAGCGUCGGUAAGGUGAUAUGAACCGUUAUAACCGGCGAUUUCCGAAUGGGGAAACCCAGUGUGAUUCGUCACACUAUCAUUAACUGAAUCCAUAGGUUAAUGAGGCGAACCGGGGGAACUGAAACAUCUAAGUACCCCGAGGAAAAGAAAUCAACCGAGAUUCCCCCAGUAGCGGCGAGCGAACGGGGAGCAGCCCAGAGCCUGAAUCAGUGUGUGUGUUAGUGGAAGCGUCUGGAAAGGCGCGCGAUACAGGGUGACAGCCCCGUACACAAAAAUGCACAUGCUGUGAGCUCGAUGAGUAGGGCGGGACACGUGGUAUCCUGUCUGAAUAUGGGGGGACCAUCCUCCAAGGCUAAAUACUCCUGACUGACCGAUAGUGAACCAGUACCGUGAGGGAAAGGCGAAAAGAACCCCGGCGAGGGGAGUGAAAAAGAACCUGAAACCGUGUACGUACAAGCAGUGGGAGCCUCUUUAUGGGGUGACUGCGUACCUUUUGUAUAAUGGGUCAGCGACUUAUAUUCUGUAGCAAGGUUAACCGAAUAGGGGAGCCGAAGGGAAACCGAGUCUUAACUGGGCGUUAAGUUGCAGGGUAUAGACCCGAAACCCGGUGAUCUAGCCAUGGGCAGGUUGAAGGUUGGGUAACACUAACUGGAGGACCGAACCGACUAAUGUUGAAAAAUUAGCGGAUGACUUGUGGCUGGGGGUGAAAGGCCAAUCAAACCGGGAGAUAGCUGGUUCUCCCCGAAAGCUAUUUAGGUAGCGCCUCGUGAAUUCAUCUCCGGGGGUAGAGCACUGUUUCGGCAAGGGGGUCAUCCCGACUUACCAACCCGAUGCAAACUGCGAAUACCGGAGAAUGUUAUCACGGGAGACACACGGCGGGUGCUAACGUCCGUCGUGAAGAGGGAAACAACCCAGACCGCCAGCUAAGGUCCCAAAGUCAUGGUUAAGUGGGAAACGAUGUGGGAAGGCCCAGACAGCCAGGAUGUUGGCUUAGAAGCAGCCAUCAUUUAAAGAAAGCGUAAUAGCUCACUGGUCGAGUCGGCCUGCGCGGAAGAUGUAACGGGGCUAAACCAUGCACCGAAGCUGCGGCAGCGACGCUGAUGCGUUGUUGGGUAGGGGAGCGUUCUGUAAGCCUGUGAAGGUGUGCUGUGAGGCAUGCUGGAGGUAUCAGAAGUGCGAAUGCUGACAUAAGUAACGAUAAAGCGGGUGAAAAGCCCGCUCGCCGGAAGACCAAGGGUUCCUGUCCAACGUUAAUCGGGGCAGGGUGAGUCGACCCCUAAGGCGAGGCCGAAAGGCGUAGUCGAUGGGAAACAGGUUAAUAUUCCUGUACUUGGUGUUACUGCGAAGGGGGGACGGAGAAGGCUAUGUUGGCCGGGCGACGGUUGUCCCGGUUUAAGCGUGUAGGCUGGUUUUCCAGGCAAAUCCGGAAAAUCAAGGCUGAGGCGUGAUGACGAGGCACUACGGUGCUGAAGCAACAAAUGCCCUGCUUCCAGGAAAAGCCUCUAAGCAUCAGGUAACAUCAAAUCGUACCCCAAACCGACACAGGUGGUCAGGUAGAGAAUACCAAGGCGCUUGAGAGAACUCGGGUGAAGGAACUAGGCAAAAUGGUGCCGUAACUUCGGGAGAAGGCACGCUGAUAUGUAGGUGAAGUCCCUCGCGGAUGGAGCUGAAAUCAGUCGAAGAUACCAGCUGGCUGCAACUGUUUAUUAAAAACACAGCACUGUGCAAACACGAAAGUGGACGUAUACGGUGUGACGCCUGCCCGGUGCCGGAAGGUUAAUUGAUGGGGUCAGCGCAAGCGAAGCUCUUGAUCGAAGCCCCGGUAAACGGCGGCCGUAACUAUAACGGUCCUAAGGUAGCGAAAUUCCUUGUCGGGUAAGUUCCGACCUGCACGAAUGGCGUAAUGAUGGCCAGGCUGUCUCCACCCGAGACUCAGUGAAAUUGAACUCGCUGUGAAGAUGCAGUGUACCCGCGGCAAGACGGAAAGACCCCGUGAACCUUUACUAUAGCUUGACACUGAACAUUGAGCCUUGAUGUGUAGGAUAGGUGGGAGGCUUUGAAGUGUGGACGCCAGUCUGCAUGGAGCCGACCUUGAAAUACCACCCUUUAAUGUUUGAUGUUCUAACGUUGACCCGUAAUCCGGGUUGCGGACAGUGUCUGGUGGGUAGUUUGACUGGGGCGGUCUCCUCCUAAAGAGUAACGGAGGAGCACGAAGGUUGGCUAAUCCUGGUCGGACAUCAGGAGGUUAGUGCAAUGGCAUAAGCCAGCUUGACUGCGAGCGUGACGGCGCGAGCAGGUGCGAAAGCAGGUCAUAGUGAUCCGGUGGUUCUGAAUGGAAGGGCCAUCGCUCAACGGAUAAAAGGUACUCCGGGGAUAACAGGCUGAUACCGCCCAAGAGUUCAUAUCGACGGCGGUGUUUGGCACCUCGAUGUCGGCUCAUCACAUCCUGGGGCUGAAGUAGGUCCCAAGGGUAUGGCUGUUCGCCAUUUAAAGUGGUACGCGAGCUGGGUUUAGAACGUCGUGAGACAGUUCGGUCCCUAUCUGCCGUGGGCGCUGGAGAACUGAGGGGGGCUGCUCCUAGUACGAGAGGACCGGAGUGGACGCAUCACUGGUGUUCGGGUUGUCAUGCCAAUGGCACUGCCCGGUAGCUAAAUGCGGAAGAGAUAAGUGCUGAAAGCAUCUAAGCACGAAACUUGCCCCGAGAUGAGUUCUCCCUGACUCCUUGAGAGUCCUGAAGGAACGUUGAAGACGACGACGUUGAUAGGCCGGGUGUGUAAGCGCAGCGAUGCGUUGAGCUAACCGGUACUAAUGAACCGUGAGGCUUAACCUUACAACGCCGAAG